CGAAAUAAAGUUAAAAGAAAGUUAUUUGUAAAACCUGUAUCUAUUGUUUAUCCAUACGUUCCGGAGAACGUUUAUAAAACUCCACAAAUUUAUAUACCUCAAGUGGUAAAAACUAGACCACUCAAAAGUGAUAAUGAAGACAUGUAUAAUAACGAAUUAGAAUAUUAUGGCGAUUUGCCAGAAAUAGAUCACGAUCAAAUAGGAAUAAUGGAUAGGAUAAUGAAACAUGCGUCAAAAUUUAAAUCCUUAUAUCACCUUAUACAACAUUUUUAUUUUGGUUAAAUUAACGAUAUUUUAAU
rnacentral:lncRNA from 1 species